rnacentral:rRNA from 1 species
GACAGAGGGUGCAAACGUUGUUCGGAAUUACUGGGCGUAAAGCGUGUGUAGGCGGCUUUGCAAGUCGGAUGUGAAAGCCCCGGGCUCAACCCGGGAAGUGCACUCGAUACUGCAGGGCUUGAGUGUGGGAGAGGUUGGUGGAAUUCUCGGUGUAGAGGUGAAAUUCGUAGAUAUCGAGAGGAACACCGGCGGCGAAGGCGGCCAACUGGACCACUACUGACGCUGAGACACGAAAGCGUGGGGAGCAAACAGG